rnacentral:rRNA from 1 species
CUACGGGAUGCUGCAGUGGGGAAUAUUGGACAAUGGACCAAAAGUCUGAUCCAGCAAUUCUGUGUGUUUGAUGAAGGCCUUCGGGUUGUAAAGAACUUUAAGUAGGGAAGAAGAAAGUGACGGUACCUACAGAAUAAGCGACGGCUAAAUACGUGCCAGCAGCCGCGGUAAUACGUAUGUCGCAAGCGUUAUCCGGAAUUAUUGGGCAUAAAGCGCGUCUAGGCGGUUUACUAAGUCUGAUGUGAAAAUGCGGGGCUCAACUCCGUAUUGCGUUGGAAACUGGUAGGCUAGAGUAUUGGAGAGGUAGGCGGAACUACAAGUGUAGAGGUGAAAUUCGUAGAUAUUUGUAGGAAUGCCAAUGACGAAGGUAGCUUACUGGACAUAUACUGACGCUGAAGCGCGAAAGCUAGGGGAGCAAACAGGAUUAGAUACCCUCGUAGUC